rnacentral:rRNA from 1 species
GACGAACGCUGGCGGCGUGCUUAACACAUGCAAGCCGAACGGUAAGGCCCUUCGGGGUACACGAGUGGCGAACGGGUGAGUAACACGUGGGUGAUCUGCCCUGCACUUCGGGAUAAGCCUGGGAAACUGGGUCUAAUACCGGAUAGGACCAUUGCCUGCAUGGGUGGUGGUGGAAAGCUUUUGCGGUGUGGGAUGGGCCCGCGGCCUAUCAGCUUGUUGGUGGGGUGAUGGCCUACCAAGGCGACGACGGGUAGCCGGCCUGAGAGGGUGACCGGACACACUGGGACUGAGAUACGGCCCAGACGCCUACGGGAGGCAGCAGUGGGGAAUAUUGCACAAUGGGCGCAAGCCUGAUGCAGCGACGCCGCGUGAGGGACGACGGCCUUCGGGUUGUAAACCUCUUUCAGCACCGACGAAGCGCAAGUGACGGUAGGUGCAGAAGAAGGACCGGCCAACUACGUGCCAGCAGCCGCCGUAA